GACUAUGAUGAAAAGAGAUGAGAGUUUACAGUCUGACCACAUUGACUGCAAGAUUCAGACUUUUACUACGCCAAGACAAAGCUGACACUCAACCAGUCAAUCACUUUUCUUCUCCGGCGUUGGCCUGAGGAAAAAGACAGGCCUGUUGCAGCAGCGGUAGCACAGAGCCUGAGGCACCAGAGCGUACAGGACAUUGAUCAACAAGAAGAGCAGCUGGUUGUCAGCAGGCACUCUGUAGGAGAACGGCGUCCGAGUGUGCAGCGACGCGCCGAUGUGAGAGAACUGGGCCUGUGGAUUCGACACAAAAUGACAGCAGUGGCUAAUAAAUGUUUCAGUUAGUAUAAAAAAAAAUACUACUAAUAUAUGAACACAGACAACAACAUUAAAGCACUUUCUUAUUACUUUCACAUACUGUAA